UGAACGCUGGCGGCAUGCCUUACACAUGCAAGUCGAACGGCAGCGCGGGGCAACCUGGCGGCGAGUGGCGAACGGGUGAGUAAUAUAUCGGAACGUACCCUGGAGUGGGGGAUAACGUAGCGAAAGUUACGCUAAUACCGCAUACGAUCUAAGGAUGAAAGUGGGGGAUUCGCAAGAACCUCAUGCUCCUGGAGCGGCCGAUAUCUGAUUAGCUAGUUGGUGGGGUAAAGGCCUACCAAGGCAUCGAUCAGUAGCUGGUCUGAAAGGACGACCAGCCACACUGGGACUGAGACACGGCCCAGACUCCUACGGGAGGCAGCAGUGGGGAAUUUUGGACAAUGGGGGCAACCCUGAUCCAGCUAUGCCGCGUGAGUGAAGAAGGCCUUCGGGUUGUAAAGCUCUUUCGGCGGGGACGAAAUAGCGCGGGGUAACAUCCCGCGUUGAUGACGGUACCCGAAGAAGAAGGACCGGCUAACUACGUGCCAGCAGCCGCGGUAAUACGUAGGGUCCUAGCGUUAAUCGGAAUUACUGGGCGUAAAGCGUGCGUAGGCGGUCUCGCAAGUCCGAUGUGAAAUCCCCGGGCUUAACCUGGGAACUGCGUUGGAAACUAUGAGACUAGAGUGCGGCAGAGGGGGGUGGAAUUCCAUGUGUAGCAGUGAAAUGCGUAGAGAUAUGGAGGAACACCGAUGGCGAAGGCAGCCCCCUGGGUCAAGACUGACGCUCAUGCACGAAAGCGUGGGGAGCAAA
rnacentral:rRNA from 1 species